CACUGGUACUCGAGUGGCGAACGGGUGAGUAACACGUGGGUGAUCUGCCUUGCACUCUGGGAUAAGCUUGGGAAACUGGGUCUAAUACCGGAUAGGAACCGUCUUUAGUGUGGUGGUUGGAAAGUUUUUUCGGUGCAAGAUGAGCUCGCGGCCUAUCAGCUUGUUGGUGGGGUAAUGGCCUACCAAGGCGUCGACGGGUAGCCGGCCUGAGAGGGUGUACGGCCACAUUGGGACUGAGAUACGGCCCAG
rnacentral:rRNA from 1 species